CUGUAUAUGCUGGAUUCAUUUCAUCAGACAUGGUGCCUCUUUCCCACGUGGCCACUGUCUAUGUUCCUGCCCUGGUACCUGCCUAUGCAACUGCUGACGGC